rnacentral:rRNA from 1 species
CAGUCGCCGCGGGAAUACGAAGGGGGCUAGCGUUGCUCGGAAUUACUGGGCGUAAAGGGAGCGUAGGCGGACAUUUAAGUCAGGGGUGAAAUCCCAGAGCUCAACUCUGGAACUGCCUUUGAUACUGGGUGUCUUGAGUGUGAUAGAGGUAUGUGGAACUCCGAGUGUAGAGGUGAAAUUCGUAGAUAUUCGGAAGAACACCAGUGGCGAAGGCGACAUACUGGAUCAUUACUGACGCUGAGGUACGAAAGCAUGGGGAGCAAACAGGAUUAGAUACCCCGGUAGUCCCUGUCUCUUAUAC